UACGUAGGGUGCAAGCGUUAAUCGGAAUUACUGGGCGUAAAGCGUGCGCAGGCGGUUUUGUAGGUCUGACGUGAAAUCCCCGGGCUCAACCUGGGAAUUGCGUUGGAGACUGCAAGGCUGGAGUCUGGCAGAGGGGGGUAGAAUUCCACGUGUAGCAGUGAAAUGCGUAGAGAUGUGGAGGAACACCGAUGGCGAAGGCAGCCCCCUGGGUCAAGACUGACGCUCAUGCACGAAAGCGUGGGGAGCAAACAGG
rnacentral:rRNA from 1 species